rnacentral:rRNA from 1 species
GAGUUUGAUCUUGGCUCAGAUUGAACGCUGGCGGCAGGCCUAACACAUGCAAGUCGAGCGGUAGAGAGAAGCUUGCUUCUCUUGAGAGCGGCGGACGGGUGAGUAAUGCCUAGGAAUCUGCCUGGUAGUGGGGGAUAACGCUCGGAAACGGACGCUAAUACCGCAUACGUCCUACGGGAGAAAGCAGGGGACCUUCGGGCCUUGCGCUAUCAGAUGAGCCUAGGUCGGAUUAGCUAGUUGAUGAGGUAAUGGCUCACCAAGGCGACGAUCCGUAACUGGUCUGAGAGGAUGAUCAGUCACACUGGAACUGAGACGCGGUCCAGACUCCUACGGGAGGCAGCAGUGGGGAAUAUUGGACAAUGGGCGAAAGCCUGAUCCAGCCAUGCCGCGUGUGUGAGGAAGGUCUUCGGAUUGU